rnacentral:lncRNA from 1 species
GACAGGAGGAGGAGGGGAGGGGGAGGGAGGGAAAGAUGGAGGGAAGGAGAGGUGGGGGAAGGGAAUGGGAGGAGAGGAGGGAGUGGAAGGGAGGGAGAGGAAAUUUCUAAACAGAAAGAACUAGAGAAAGAGAUGGAGGAAAAGGGGGAAGAAAGAAAUAGAGAGAGAAACAAACAAGGGAUGGAGGGAGGAAAUUUUAAGAUAGAAGAAGAAAGAGGAGAUAAAUAGAGGGAAGGAGAAAGAAAUAGAAGGGGAAGGGAGGGAGGGAGAAAAUGUUGGGAUAAAGACAAAAACAGAGAGGGGCAGGGGAAGGAAAACAAUACAGAGAGCCAAAGAGAUGGAAACACUAAAUAAAAGCUUAUUAAUAUGGAGUCCAUAAAGUUUUAUACACACAUCCACAUAUGUCUGUCCUUAGGUAUACUUAUAUAUACUAUAGGUAUUUAUAUUCAUAUUUAUGCACACACAUAUAACCAAGUUUCUGCAUGAACAACUGUAUUUCAAUUAACCUGUUUCCUUUGUAAUCCUCUGAGUUUUAUUUUUGAUAUUUAACAGGUCAGUUCUGCAGAGUCCAGGGGCUUCUCUGGUAUGUAUGGGGGCAGAGCAGGGCAAGGUGGGCAGCACACUGCAAUGUCCACUGCAGGGGAGGGGACUGACCUCAGAAUCCAGAAUCCUCAGGCUCCUGCCUGGUCUUUGAUGCUCACCAGCUACAUGCCCCACCCUUGGUAUGUAACACUAGUCUACAAUUCAUUGACAGACGUCUCAAGGGCAGAGGACCAAACCUCCCUCCCCCUUCAGAUUCCCCAGAGCAGCUCAGGAGUGGCCAGAAAGUAAAUGGAAGAUGGUUCAUAAAUACUGGGGGACUUGACUGGAUCAGAGAGCAAGAAUGACUGGUUUCUCUGGGGCUGAGUGCGGGGAUCACAGCCUUGAAGAAUCCCCACAUGUAUUGACAAUGAUUUGAACACACUCCAAACAAGGUUUCCACGAAGACAGAAAGUGCUUGCGGAGCAAACCCGUCAAUAACUACAAAGAGAGGAAUAAUUUACCAAG